GGGUUGUGAGGUUAAGUGACUAAGCGUACACGGUGGAUGCCUAGGCAGUCAGAGGCGAUGAAGGGCGUGCUAAUCUGCGAUAAGCGUCGGUAAGCUGAUAUGAAGCGUAAUAACCGGCGAUACCCGAAUGGGGAAACCCAGUGUGUUUCGACACACUAUUGCAUGGUGAAUCCAUAGCCAUGCAAGGCGAACCGGG
rnacentral:rRNA from 1 species